rnacentral:siRNA from 1 species
UACUUUGUUUUGGGUGCAAUAC